GACGAACGCUGGCGGCGUGCUUAACACAUGCAAGUCGAACGGAAAGGCCCUGCUUUUGUGGGGUGCUCGAGUGGCGAACGGGUGAGUGACACGUGUGUAACCUCCCCUUGACUUUGGGAUAACUUCAGGAAACUGGGGCUCAUACCGGAUAGGAGCUCCUGCUGCAUAGUGGGGGUUGGAAAGUUUCGGCGGUUGGGGCAGGAGUCGCGGCUUAUCCGCUUGUUGGUGGGGUAGUGGCUUACCCAGGCUUUGACGGGUAGCCGGCCUGAGAGGGUGACCGGCCACAUAGGGACUGGGAAACGACCAAGACGCAUACGGGAGGCAGCGGUGGGGAAUAUAGCACAAAGGGCGGAAGCAUGAGGCAGCAACGCCGGGUGCGGGAUGACGGCUUUCGGGUUGGAAACCGCUUGCGCCUGUGACGAAGCGUGAGUGACGGUAAUGGGCAAAGAAGCACCGGCUAACUACGU
rnacentral:rRNA from 1 species